AUUGAACGCUGGCGGCAGGCCUAACACAUGCAAGUCGAACGAGUGGCGGACGGGUGAGUAAUGUCUGGGAAUCUGCCUGGUAGUGGGGGAUAACGUCCGGAAACGGGCGCUAAUACCGCAUACUAUCAGAUGAGCCUAGGUCGGAUUAGCUAGUUGGUGGGGUAAAGGCCUACCAAGGCGACGAUCCGUAACUGGUCUGAGCGGAUGACCAGCCACACUGGAACUUAGACACGGUCCAGAAUCCUCCGGGAGGCAGCUGUGGGGAAUAUUGCACAAUGGGCGCAAGCCUGAUGCAGCCAUGCCGCUUGUAUGAAGAAGGCCUUCGGGUUGUAAAGUACUUUCAGCGGGGAGGCGUUACCCGCAGAAGAAGCACCGGCGAACUCCGUGCCAGCAGCCGCGGUAAUUC
rnacentral:rRNA from 1 species